AAGCCACCCCUAUUCGUGUCCUUGCGCGAGAAGAUCAUCAUCCAUGCCGUGAAACCAUUCAGAAAAGAAAGAACGCGAUCGGUCCACCACACACGAAGAAUUUCGAAUGUCCGUGUAUACUGUUCAUCAAGUUCGUCGCAUCCAUUCGUCGCGCUCGGUGAGUUUCUGUUCAAUUCCUUUUGCACCUGAAUUCAACCACAUUUAUCCUAUCUCCUAGACAUCAUAGUUCGGCCUCUUUCUUUAGUUGGUCGCGUGCGUUCAAUGAACGAGGCCAUCCGUUGACAUCAACAUGAUUACUUAGGUUCUACUCAUCGUAGAGCUUUUUGUCCAACAUAUACAAUCUUCUCUAUGAGCAUAUAAACCUAGUGAAGGCGUUAUAUUACUUGUUUAGACAACUCGGUUUACCGUAUGUUUUAUUGUAAUCGUUUACGCCUAAUAUCAUAUAGUGUUUGGAGUUUGGUAAAAAUUUCUUGUGAAUCUAUUAUUAUUUUUAUUAUACCGUGAUAUGCCUAGGAGUGUAUCCUAAAUGUCUUACAAUUUCUGAUGUGGCAAGUGACUUGUUUGAUUUAUCAUUUUUUUUACCGACUAUAGUUUUUGAAAAUUAUUGAGCAUAUUAUUUCAUGUGUUAUUUUUUAUGCUGUAAUUAGUCAUAGGAUAUAUGCACGUACACGUAUUGUGAAUUAUUACCAUGUUUGUAAGGAUUUUAUUUAUUUAUUUUAGUUCUGUAGUCCUCACUUGUGCAUGCGCACACAACUUUGACAAUGUUCGCCAUGCUUAUAGUUGCAUAGAAUUUUCAUUGUUUUGCUUUGUUUCAUCCUAGAACAAUUUAUCUUUUGAUUUAAUCUAUUUUGUUUAGCAUGGCAAAUAUAUUAUUUUGUUUCAUAUAUUCGUUUUCAAUCAUGUUGCUUAUGCGAUUUGUUUAUGUGUGAAGUCAUGAUGUUAUAGGUUAGCGCUUAUCUAAUCAUAUGUGUUAUAUAUUUAAUUUUCAUUUACUAGUUAUCAUGAGCAUGUUAUGUUACAUUAAAUUUUAGAGUAAGUUGAUAUUGUUGUAGAGUUUCUAUAAGCUAAACGAAGCCAAGGUUAAUCAUUGGUUGUUGCAUAUAGUUAAUUGUCAUUUAAUCUUUACAAAUAUUUAGAAUUAUCUAAAUAUUUAUCUUGGUCGGCUAACAUUUAGUCAUGCAUGUCUAGUAUAGGUUAGUUGUAUUAUUUCAUGUGUUUUGUAUAUGUUAAUUACGAUAGAUAUCAAAUGAAAUGCUUCGUUAUUGGAGGUGACUACCUUAUAGUUUAUUGCAUAGAUAUACCACCUAGUUGAUCAUUUAGUUUUAUAGAUGUUUGCUAUCCAUUAUUCAUGGUUGGUUGUUUCAUGUCACUUUCAGAUUUGUAUUGUUACAUAUGAUUUAGGUUGUAGCAUGUAACCUAUACUUUAUUACUUCUUGUUAAUUAUCUUAGAUGUAUUGUUUACCUAGGAUGGUAGCUUACAUGUCAUGUGUGUACCAACCCGUGUGUUGUACCAAUUCGGUUCUACUUUAUUAUUUUAGUUGACUUACAUGUCAUGUGUGUACCAAUACGUGUAUUGUACGAUGCCUUGGUUGUGCUUCUAUGUAUUGCAAGUGAGGUUGUACUAUUUUGAAACGCAUGCCAUCAUGUUAUCCGUGUUGUAUAAUACACGUUGAUUAGUUGAUUAUAUGAUCUAGCUGUUUACUUGCCUACAUGCUCAUUACUAUUUAUGAACGUGCUUAUCUGUAUUAACUAACAUGAUAGGGUUGUGCUUAUUCCAUGAUUUCGUGUUCUUACAUGUCAUGACUAGAAUGUGAGAUUGCAUGCUAGUGCCAUGCUUGAUCUUCAUGAUAGUUGAUAUCAACUAAGUUAUCUCAUAGUUACGAGUUGUAUUCUAUUGGUAGCCUAGUGUGGUAUCUCAUGUGAUGAUCCACCAUGAUUAGUCAGUAUAUUUACUUAUCUAUCUAUUGCAUUAUCGUAUGCUUAAGCCUAUACAUCUUGUCAUGAUAGUGAUCUUUCAUGUCUUAUUAUGCUCCAUGUGUUAUAGUAGCGUACUUAAUCCGUGUGCUUCUUAUAGGUGAUUGCCCUUGUCACAUGUUAGUGUUUUAUACUUGAUGCAAUAGUUCAUCCCAUGCUUAGGAUGAAUCAUAUGUCGUGUUAAUAGAAUCGUGCUUUGAUCAUACAGUUAGUGUGCACAUCAUGCUUUAUUAUUUUGAUCAUGUGGUGAUAAUAUAAUUGCUAGUGGUCGUUAGUAUUGGUUUAUCUUUUGUUCUAGAAAACGUUGUUUGUUAUGGUUGAUGUUUUACUUUGCUUGUGGUUACCAUUGUAAAUAUUUAGAUUAUCUAAAUAUUUGUUUGUGGUUAACCUUUACAUCUACUAUGUUAUGUUGAGAUUGUGUAGUAAAAAUACGUAUGUUGAUUCCAUUCCAUGUGUGUUGAACUUCAUCGGCUUCAUCAUGUAGUAGUCUUAUAUAAUUAACUGAGUUGUGUAGUGGACAGUACUAAUCGUCAGUAUCGUAGUUCCCAUUAGAACGCUAGUCUUGAUCACCAAGCGUUCCUUAGUCAUCGUCAACCUAAACCAUGUCACCCCAUUGAAUCAUCUCUCUUACAUCCCUAUCGUGCUAUCCCAUUUCGGAAUCUUCAUCUUGAUACAUAUCUUGCUAUCCAUCCACUCUCAGUUUGAUUUGGAUUUCUUUGAAUUUACUAUUGCUUCGGUAUUUAUUCAUUUUCCAUUUCUAUCAUUACGACGAGUAGGGAGUGACGAUGUUGGACAUGGACAGAAACAUGUUACUGAAGAAGGAC
rnacentral:lncRNA from 1 species